rnacentral:misc_RNA from 1 species
GUAAUUUUGUUGGUACGCUGUUGGAGUUGUAACUUAUGUUAUUUUUGCCUAUUGUAAGUUGCAAUGUCUUUGAGUUCCGCUUUAUAAAAUUAUGAUGAAAUAUCUGUUGCCAAUGCCAAUAUAGAGAAUAGCUGGAUUUGGAAGCUCAACAAUUUUUAGUUGUGGGAGUAUCAAAAGAAAUUUCAUCUCUGGUUGUGAGG